ACCUUCAACAUUCUCAAGUCAAUAGUCCCAACGUCUCCUGCCGUCACCCAGUCUUCGGCUCUCAACUCGACAAAAUUGGCGGCGAAGGAAAAUUGGUUAUCGCCGCCGGAACUUAGUUUACAGAUACCAUGGUUGAGCAAGUUAAGAAAGGAAAUACGAACAACAUAACUUUUAAAGGGCAUGCUACUUUCACUAAUGUAAAGAACAUGCCGAUUAACGAUCAGAUCCAGUUUGAAGUACUGCAAUAGCAUCACCUGAUGUUUGAGACGAUAUGAGGAUAGGUUCAUCCGCAAGCUGAAAGAUUUCGUGUUGAUGAAUUGGUGAUUGGAUUGCCUUAACUAUGUGAAGGGACACAACUGCUAUACACAAAGGUAUUUGCGAGGACUUGAGAUUAUCCCGGACUCGAGCUUCCUCCCUUGAUGAUGGCAUUCAUAAAUUGAAGGAAGAAUGAGGAGGUCAAGGUGAU